rfam:Haemonchus contortus, ISE/inbred ISE, WGS project CAVP01000000 data, contig: Hcontortus_30138
GGCGCAAACUUGAAGUAGAGUAGAUUAGUAUGGUCAGUUGAUCCUACCAAUCUACUCUACUUCAAAUUUGGGCCC